GACGAACGCUGGCGGCGUGCUUAACACAUGCAAGCCGAACGAUGAAGCCGGAGCUUGCUCUGGUGAAUUAGUGGCGAACGGGUGAGUAACACGUGAGUAACCUGCCCUUGACUCUGGGAUAACUGCUAGAAAUGGUAGCUAAUACCGGAUACGACCCUCGGCGGCAUCGCCAGGGGGUGGAAAGAAUUUCGGUCAAGGAUGGACUCGCGGCCUAUCAGCUAGUUGGUGAGGUAACGGCUCACCAAGGCGACGACGGGUAGCCGGCCUGAGAGGGUGACCGGCCACACUGGGACUGAGACACGGCCCAGACUCCUACGGGAGGCAGCAGUGGGGAAUAUUGCACAAUGGGCGCAAGCCUGAUGCAGCAACGCCGCGUGAGGGAUGACGGCCUUCGGGUUGUAAACCUCUUUUAGUAGGGAAGAAGCGAAAGUGACGGUACCUGCAGAAAAAGCACCGGCUAACUACGUGCCAGCCGCCGCAGUAA
rnacentral:rRNA from 1 species